CCCUUAGAUGUUCUGGGCCGCACGCGUGCUACACUGAGUGGAUCAGCGGGUCAGGUUGCGCGAAAGUGUUUCCUAAUCUUUAAAUCCGCUCGUGAUGGGGAUUGACGGUUGCAAUUUUCCGUCAUGAACGAGGAAUACCUUGUAAGCGCGGGUCAUCAUCCCGCGCUGAAUACGUCCCUGCCCUUUGUACACACCGCCCGUCGCUCCUACCGAUUGAGUGGUCCGGUGAGGCUUUGGGAUCUGAGCGGAAAGAGCGUUUCGCUGUUUUUGCCCGGAAAACUCAGUCGAACCUUAUCAUUUAGAGGAAGGAGAAGUCGUAACA
rnacentral:rRNA from 1 species